GACAGAGGUGCCGAGCGUUAGGCGGAAUCACUGGGCUUAAAGCGUGUGUAGGCGGGCCGUUAAGUACCUUGUGAAAUCCCCCGGCUCAACCGGGGAACGGCUGGGUAUACUGGCGGUCUUGAGAGACCUAGGGGCGAGCGGAACAAGCGGUGGAGCGGUGAAAUGCGUAGAUAUCGCUUGGAACGCCGACGGUGAAAACAGCUCGCUGGGGGUCUUCUGACGCUGAGACACGAAAGCCAGGGGAGCGAACGGG
rnacentral:rRNA from 1 species